rnacentral:lncRNA from 1 species
CCGUUCAUACGGCAACACAAAAUUUUCGACGAACAAAAAAAAAGCUUGUACGUUGCACCUCUAACCAAUUUGAACGAAACACAGUGAAUAAUAAAACUUUAAGCAUGUCAAUUCUAGUGAUUUAAAACAUAGUCACUCGAAAUUGACACUUACCAACGCACGAAGCCUUAUACUUAUAAAUCUCUGUAUUAUCGUUUGUAAAAAAAGUAUUGUCCAAAUGUGAUUGUUUUGUAAUCAUGGUAGUCAAAAUUGGUAAAAGGUGAUUAAUGUAAAUGUGUAGAUUAAUUCAAUCUCCAGCUUUCUUUUAAGGAGUGUACACAUCACAAUUGUAUUUUUGUAUUAUGGAUUUCAAUAUGGUAAAGCUGUAGGCGUAGAAUAUUUUUCAUUUCUGAAAUACAAAUUUAAAUUGUUAUAGUUUAUAAAUCGGUAUACUUUGAUCAUGUAAGUUCAUUAUCAAUGCAGGUUCCCGUGUUCUAAACAGAAAUAUUGAAAACUUGUGACAUACCCUGUUACAGCCGAGUAUAGUUCCUAUUAGAACAAUCUAAAUCGGCAUGGCAGCUGGUCCCAACCAGUUCAAGUAGGUACAGUCUAUACUAACGUUAGUACAAAAUGUCCCCGCGUACAAGUUAAAACAAAAUAGAAAUACGAUAGUUUGGCAUAUUGGAUAUUGUUACACUAU